GGACAGUGCGAGCAGGGGGGCUGGGUAGUGCGGUGGGUGCGGGGGUUGUCUGAACGUGCGGCGCGGAGAGAGCUGGUGGGCGGUGUGGCGCGUGUGAUGUGACAUUCGGUGACGCAAUGGCGGGCGGGCAGGCGAGACGGUGAUGCGGGGGGACUACAGGGGAGACGGGAACUCCUGGUGUAGCGGUGAAAGGCGCAGAUAUCAGGAGGAACACCGGUGGCGAAGGCGGGUCUCAGGGUAGUAACUGACGCUGAGGAGCGAAAGCGUGGGUAGCGAACAGGAUUAGAUACCCUGGUAGUC
rnacentral:rRNA from 1 species